AUAAAUCUUUGUCAAAUGAUGCCCUUAAUUCACCCUAAAGGCUUGGAAAAAUUUCUAGAAUCACAUGUGAUUGUUUUAUGUGUCAAAAGUUGAUUAUUCAUAAGCAUAGGAGAGUUUACGGCCAUAGAACAUGCUUCUGGGCCGUAAACUCCUAAAAUGAUGUUAUUUGGUGCCUAAAAUUUACACCAAACCUUGGAAAAUUACUUAGAAUCACAUGUGAUUGCUACUUGUGACUCAAAUCAAUUUUUCUUCACCCUAGAAGAGUUUACGGUCAUAAACUCCAAGUUUAAGGCCAUAAACUCCCUUUUAAAUGGUAUAAAUCCAAACAAAUUAAUCCAAGGCAUUUUAAGAAUUCCAUUCCAACAAUCCUCAUGUCCAUUUAAGCCAUUAAACCGUCAAAAUCACACCAACAUGAGUUUACGGCCGUCAACUCAUGUGUGUGUGUGUGUUUUGUGGCUGUAAACUCCCUAAUAUGUUUACUCUUGGGGAGUAAACUCAAGUCCUAAGUCCGUAGUGUCAAUAUACGUCCGUAGAUGUCACCCGGGUCACUCCAAACGCUCGUUUUGAGGUGUUUAACCUCGUUGGAGUGUAAUGUUCCAUAUGAUUAGUGAUUGUAAAUAUAAUUAGUUAUAUAUGGACAUUAUUACAUUUUACAUAGGGACAUCGCGAGUAAUCAAGCCUCGAACCAACGUCUAAUAUCCAAAACCGUCGCAUUUCCGAGUCUGUUGAGUUCAUACCCCUACCCUUUUUCACUGUUUUCCACUAUUUUCAAGGGGGGAACACAAGCAAAGUACAAGGGUUUCUUGUACUCAAAAACUUGUUUUCGUGUGUGUGUUUCACAUUUUAUAUGCUUUUAACACUGAUUGAUACAACUGGUAACCAUUCGAGCAUGCAGAACACGUAAACAUUUAUUUGUGAAAUGGGUAUUAUAACUGUUAUGUUUUAUAUAUUUCACAAAUGUUUUCCACAUUUUAUCAGUUAAAAGCUCAUAUAUGAACAUGAAAUUUGUACACUGUCUUGUCCUCGGUAACACUCCACAGAGAUACGCGAGUGGAGGAUUAUCAUAUUAUUACUAGUAAAUUUGUUAUUCCUAUAUGAUUGGAGACACGUCCUCGGCGAACACUCCACAGAGAUACGCGAGUGGAGGACUACACCUAUAACCAGAAUCUCUGGGAUUUAGAGAGCGUGACUUGAGUGUAUAGAUCUAUACGGGGCUGACUACCCCACACCUGGCUGCUAGCUACAGCCGAACCGAAAUGGUUCAAGGGUGACGAAAGUCAUAAGGAUGUGGACUACUUAUUGCCACAGGUUCAGUCUAUAGUAUGGUUAUGGAACUCGCAAUUAGGAUAACAGAGAUUUACUUAUAGUAAUAAUAAACAACUUUAUACGCUUCUGAAGAUAACCAGGUUUCGAAAUACAUCUUUUACAUUGAUAACCAACAUUCAGGAAAGUAUGGGACUUUCCUGGGAAACCUUUACAUAACCAGGUCUAAUAGAAUACAUCCUUACAAUAAAAACCAACAUUCAGGAAAGCAUGGGCCCUUCCUGGGGAAACAUAUACAUAACUAGAAAAGUGUAACAAAACAGAUAACAUUACAUCUUUUACAAUUGAUAACUCACAAUCAGGAAAGUAUGGGACUUUCCUGGGAAUACAUUGGAACUCAAACAUAAUAGUUUAACAAACCGGGUAAUCAAACCAUACAUUUUUCACAUGAGUAAAUGUGUUUUCAGUGUACAAACCUACUAUACUUUGUAAUCGUGAAACAACAAACAAUUUCUAAGAAAAUGUGGGAUUUUCUUGGCGUAUGUUACAUCUUCAGAAACAGAAAGGAAACACGAACAUUUUUACAAAACAAAACUACUUAUGAACUCACCAGCGUUAUGCUGAUUUUCAAACCGCUUGUGUUCUAAUCAAUCUUUUAUAGAAAUCCUCGUACACGUAUAGAUCCUCGAUCAUUCCAUUAGCGAUAGUUUACCUGCUUCAAUAACUCUUUCCUGAUUUAUCGCUUACUUGGAAUUAAUAUUUGUCAUAUCUCUCGAUUCAAUUCAGAGGACUUAUCAUCCUCUCUUUCUUGAUCUUAUUAGAUCAAGAUGCCUCCCAGAAAGAGACCCAGCUCNCACCUCCUCCUGAAAUCGAUCCCGUGUUAUUUCAAACAACUGUUACCGCCGCGGUGGCAGCUGCCAUGUCCCAAUUGAACACCGGUAGUUCUGGUGGUUCAGGAGGUGGUACUCAAGAUCAAGAAAGCAAUCAGGGAUAUCGAAGUUCCUACAAGGAUUUCGUGAAUGCAAAACCAACAUCCUUUGAUGGCACUGGAGGUGUCAUUUCCCUAUCUCGAUGGUUCGAGAAAAUCGAAUCCAUCUUCGAAAUCUGUGCCUGUGCUGAGUCCAAUAAGGUCAAAUUUGCAGCCUGUACCUUCAGUAAUAAAGCCCUGACUUGGUGGAAUGGCCGAGCCAAAUCCUUGACCCUACCCGUAGCCAAUGCCAUGGGCUGGAACGCCAUGAAAGAACUCCUCCUUGCCGACUAAUGUCCUCGUGGUGAGAUGCAGAAGCUAGAGCAUGAGCUCUGGAACCUGAAGAUGAAAGGUUCCGACAUUGCUGCAUACACUUCUCGAUUCGAUGAUCUUGCCCUUCUCUGUCCUGGUUUGGUCACUCCUGAAAGCAAAAAGAUCAAGAGGUUUAUUUAGGGUCUAACCAAUCCAACAAAAGGUCAUGUUUUGGCUGCUCGCCCGGACACAUAUGAUAGUGCUAAGACUUUACCCAAAGCCAUAAUUGAUCACAGUGAUGAUGUUGAGGAAACCACCACCGCCCCUGAGUCAACUAAAAGCAGUGGUGAGAAAAGAAAAUUCUGGAAGAAGAAGAAGGGUCAAUCUUCCCAAGGAUCCUCUAAAAGACAGCAAACAGUAGCAGUCCAUGCUGCUACUACCCCCGUUGCUGCUGCUUAUGUUGUGGGAUCCACAGCUCCAACUCCUACUAGCCGGUAUGUUGGUAAUCUCCCUCUCUGUGAAAAAUGCAAGUAUCACCACAAUCCUGGACCCUGUCGAGAACUUUUGUUGUACUAAUUGUGGUAAGAAGGGGCACACAGUCCGAUUUUGCAAGGCUCCAGCUCAAUCGGCCAAUCAAUCUUCUGGAACAGGUGUCGGUCAAGCCUGUUACAACUGUGGUGAAGUUGGGCACUUUAAAAGAAACUGCCCCAAAAAGUCUACUGCUGAUAACAAUGGAAGGGUCCUCGUCAUGGGACGGGAGGAAGCGGUCGCUGAUCCCACUGUUGUCUCGGGUACGUUCCUUCUCGACAACUCAUAUGCUAAUAUUCUUUUCUAUUCGGGUGUUGAGAGGAGCUUUAUUAGUCAUGCAUUCAAACAUAACCUAAAACAUAAUUCCCAACUUUUAAUCGAAAUAUUUACCAUCGAGAUGGCGAACAGAGAGAAGGAAAGUGCUAGUGAGGUGUUCGUAGGUUGUACCCUUACCCUAAACGACCAUUUGUUUCCUAUCGAUCUUAUGCCGGUAUCCAUAAAGAGCUUUGAUGUCAUCAUUGGCAUGGAUUGGUUGAGUCCCAAUCAUGCGGAUAUCCUUUGUUUCGAAAAAGCCAUCCGUCUCAACCUUCCUUCGGGUCAAACUCUAGUAAUCUAUGGCGAUAAACUCGGUUCCAAUCUUUGUAUCGUUUCCUGCAUCAAAGCUCAGAAACUCCUGCGAAAGGAGUGUAUUGCAUUCUUGGCCCAUGUAAUCAACGAAUAGCAGGAAGUUAAAGACCUCACGAGCAUCCCCGAAGUCUGUAACUCUCUUUAUGUGUUUCCCGAAGAGCUUCCAGGAAUCCCUCCCGAGCGCCAGGUCGAGUUCCGUAUUGACCUAAUUCCUGGAGCUACUCCCAUAGCGAAGUCUCCGUAUCGCUUAGCUCCAGCAGAGAUGCAGGAGUUAUCCAUUCAACUUAACGAAUUGCUCAGCAAAGGAUUCAUUAGACCGAGUUCCUCACCCUGGGGAGCUCCGGUUUUGUUUGUCAAGAAGAAAGAUGGAUCCUUUCGUAUGUGUAUCGAUUAUCGCGAACUGAACAAGUUGACUGUUAAAAACCGAUAUCCUCUUCCGCGAAUAGACGACCUCUUCGAUCAACUCCAGGGAGCCAGUUACUUCUCCAAGAUAGACCUUCGAUCAAGGUACCAUCAGCUACGAGUUCAUGAAAGUGAUGUGUCCAAGACAGCUUUCAGGACUCGAUAUGGACACUACGAGUUCGUAGUGAUGCCCUUUGGUCUAACCAACGCACCGGCAGUGUUCAUGGACCUGAUGAACCGGGUGUGUCCUCCUUAUCUGGACAAGUUGUCAUUGUGUUCAUUGAUGACAUACUCGUCUAUUCCAGAAGUGAAGAAGACCACAAACAACACUUGAGUCUAGUGUUGGAGACCCUGCGAUCCGAGAAGCUGUAUGCAAAAUUUUCCAAAUGCGAGUUCUGGAUUCGGAAGGUAACUUUCCUCGGUCACAUGGUAUGCGAGGAGGGUAUCCAUGUAGAUCCUUCCAAGAUAAAGGCGAUAGGGAAUUGUUCAGCACCGAAGACACCCACAGAAAUCCGGCAGUUCUUGAGUCUCACUGGCUAUUAUCGGAGAUUCAUCCAAAACUUUUCUUGAAUCGCCAAACCCUUAACCACUCUAACACAGAAAGGUGUACCCUUUUUUUGGAGUAAUAAGCAAGAAACCGCAUUCCAGACACUGAAGAAAGCCUUGUGCAGUGCGCCUAUUAUGUCACUACCCGAAGGGACUGAGGACUUCGUUGUCUACUGCAAUGCGUCUAAUCAAGGCUUAGGCUGUGUGCUUAUGCAAAGGGGAAAAGUAAUUGCCUAUGCUUCUAGACAGUUGAAAGCACACGAGAUCAACUAUACCACACACGACUUGGAACUAGGAGCAGUGGUCUUUGCGUUGAAGAUUUGGAGACAUUAUCUCUACGGAACCAAGUGCACGAUCUUCACUGAUCACAAGAGCCUGCAACACAUCUUUGAUCAGAAAGACUUGAACAUGAGACAAAGGCGAUGGGUAGAACUACUCAGUGAUUAUGAGUGUGAAAUCCGUUACCAUCCCAGCAAGGCCAAUGUGGUAGCAGAUGCCCUUAGUCGAAAGGAGAGUGCAGGCCGUAAAGUGAAGAACCAGUCGAUGACCAUCCAUUCCAACCUACCCAUACAAAUCCGAGAAGCCCAAUUAGAAGCCCUCAAACCUGAGAAUGUGUCGAAUGAAGCUUUGAGAGGAAUGGAAAAGAAACUUGAGAUCAGAGGUGACGGAGUCCAUUGUUUCAUGGAUCGGAUCUGGAUUCCCAAGUUCGGAGGAUUCAGAGAGAUAGUUAUGGAGGAAGCGCACAGAACCAAAUAUUCUGUUCACCCGGGCUCUGACAAGAUGUACUUAGAUCUCAAGAAACAAUAUUGGUGGCCAAACAUGAAGGCUGAGAUAGCUACGUUUGUGGGCAAGUGUCUGACUUGCGCCAAGGUAAAAGUUGAGCACCAGAAACCCUCGGGUCUGCUCCAGCAACCUGCGAUACCCGAAUGGAAAUGGGAGAUGAUCACCAUGGAUUUCAUCACCAAACUACCCAGGUGUCCGAGUGGAUAUGAUACCAUAUGGGUAAUUGUUGACCGUUUAACCAAGUCAGCUCACUUCGUUCCAAUCAAAGAAUCAUACAAGAUGGAAAGACUCGCGCGGAUUUAUAUCCAAGAGGUAGUCCGACUGCACGGUGUACCUGCAUCCAUUAUCUCUGAUCGAGAUAGCAGGUUUACCUCCCGAUUUUGGCAGUCUCUCCAGAAAGCUCUUGGAAGCAAACUAGAUAUGAGCACGGCGUAUCAUCCUCAGACAGAUGGACAGAGUGAGAGAACAAUCCAAACUCUGGAAGACAUGCUUAGGGCAUGUGUCAUUGACUUUGGAAAGUCGUGGGACGCACAUCUACCUUUGAUCGAAUUCUCGUACAACAACAGUUAUCACACCAGCAUUAGGGCUGCCCCGUUCGAAGCCCUAUACGGUCGUAAGUGCAGAUCCCCUCUGUGCUGGGCCGAGGUGGGGGAUACACAGCUAGCCAAGAGUCGAGUCCCCGACAGUGCUCUCACUGGUCCUGAGAUCAUCUGUGAAACCACCGAGAAGAUCAUCCAAAAUCUAAGAACGACUGAAAGCUUCACGUAAUUGCCAGAAGAGUUACGCUGAUAACCGUCGGAAACCACUGGAAUUCCAGGAUGGAGAUCGCGUCCUAUUGAAGGUCUCGCCCUGGAAAGGCACUGUACACUUUGGUAAGCGUGGGAAACUUAAUCCGAGAUACAUUGGACCUUUCGAGAUCCUCGCCAGGAUCGGUCCGGUAGCCUAUAAGCUUCGUUUACCUAACGAGCUCAGUAACAUCCAUCCCAUCUUCCAUGUUUCAAAUCUCAAGAAGUGCCUAUCCGAUGAAACCUUAGUGAUUCCUUUAGACGAGAUCGAGAUUGAUGAAAACCUCAACUUCGUGGAGGAACUGAUCGAAAUCAUGGAUCGAGAACUCAAACGUACAAAACAAAGUCGCAUCCCGUUAGUGAAGGUUCGUUGGAAUGCCAAGCGGGGACCGGAGUUCACUUGGGAGCGGGAAGACUCGAUGAGACAGAAGUAUCCGCAACUCUUUCUAGAUCCAUGAUUUGUAUUUUGUCUUGUAUCUUGUCUUGAAUUUCGGGACGAAAUUCCCUCUAACGGGGGGAUAAUGUAACAACCCGAAUUUUCAUAUCACAUCUUGUAACCCAAAUUGUAAUCCAAUUCGAUCAACCAAACGCAGUUUCCAAAUCCGUUUCCGAUUUCUUAAUUAAAUUAAGUCAUUAUCAUAUUUCGAUCUAAAAUGACUUAAUGGGUGUCUUAAUGCCAUUAGGAAUCAUUCUAACACCCCAUUAUCGUUAUCGGAAUAAUUCUAGAAUCGAUCAUAUCGGGUUACGACAAAUUGGUCGGGUAUGACCAAAAGCCCCACUGAACGCCGGUAUCGGGUAGAAUUCCGUCGUGUCCGAUUCCCAAGCACUAUAUAAAGGAUUCAAAGCUUUCAUUUGAAGCUUUUGGCCAUUUCUUCCAUAAACACUUCCAACCUCUCUCCUCAUCCAUAAUCAAAGGUCCAAAAACAAAGAUUUAAGGCUCCAAAUCAAAGAGGUAACAUCCCUAACUUGUUAUGUAACUCCUUUAGCCUUCAAUUUGAUGUUUAAAUUGAGUUUUAGGACCUAGAACAUGUGUUUACGGCCAAGGAUAAAGCUUGGGCCGUAAACACCUAGAAAUGGGGUUUUUGAGCCAUUUAACCCUUCCAAAUCAUUGUUGGAACUUAGAUACGACCUUAAGGCUUACAAAUUGGGAGUUAAAACAUUUAAAACAUGAAUUUUGAAGGACAAAAGAGAGUUUACGGCCAAGGCUUGUUCUUGGGCCGUAAACUCCUCAAACAUGGGGAUUUAACACCUUAAAACAUGUCAAAAUGCCUUGUAACUCAACCAAUAGCUUUGUAAUAAAUCCUAGAUCCAUUGAAAAAAAGUUUAGGGGUUUAUAACACAUCAAAAUACCACAUAUAGGAGUUUACAGCCUAGGCACAUACCCUUUGGUCGUAAACUCAUGAAUCUUUGUCAAAUGAUGCCCCUAAUUCACCCUAAAGUCUUGGAAAAAUUUCUAGAAUCACAUGUGAUUGUUUUAUGUGUCAAAAGUUGAUUAUUCAUAAGCAUAGGAGAGUUUACGGCCAUAGAACAUGCUUCUGGGCCGUAAACUCCUAAAAUGAUGUUAUUUGUUGCCUAAAAUUUAUACCAAACCUUGGAAAAUUACUUAGAAUCACAUGUGAUUGCU
rnacentral:lncRNA from 1 species